rnacentral:rRNA from 1 species
AUUGAACGCUGGCGGCAGGCCUAACACAUGCAAGUCGAACGAGUGGCGGACGGGUGAGUAAUUUCUGGGAAACUGCCCGAUGGAGGGGGAUAACUACUGGAAACGGUAGCUAAUACCGCAUACCAUCGGAUGUGCCCAGAUGGGAUUAGCUAGUAGGUGGGGUAACGGCUCACCUAGGCGAAGAUCCCUAGCUGGUCUGAGAGGAUGACCAGCCAAACUGGAACUGAGACACGGUCCAGACUCCUCCGGGAGGCAGCAGUGGGGAAUAUUGCACAAUGGGCGCAAGCCUGAUGCAGCCAUGCCGCGUGUGUGAAGAAGGCCUUCGGGUUGUAAAGUACUUUCAGCGAGGAAGCGUUACUCGCAGAAGAAGCACCGGCUAACUCCGUGCCAGCAGCCGCGGUAAUUC